AUUUGACAUGCUCAAAAAUGCAAAAUUGACUGGUCUGAUGGACACAGGAUGGCCGAGCAGUGAUAGUUGUACAUUUCCAUCACUCGUUGUGUUGAUUUCAUCAUGUCCAUUAGGUGAUGUUUUUUCACUAUAGAAUCAUAUUGCAAAUGCACGUGCAUUGUUGUGCAACUGGUAACCCAAAAAUAAAAAUAUGGUUGUAAAUGCAUUUACCGGUCAUUCUGAUAUUAAUGCUCGCUAUGGGAACACAGGAUGGCCGGGCAGUGAUAGUUGUACAUUUCCAUCACUCGUUGUGUUGAUUUCAUCAUGUCCAUUAGGUGAUGUUUUUUCACUAUAGAAUCAUAUUGUAAGUGCACGUGCAUUUGCAAUAUGUUUCAAUGUGCAUUUACCAUAUGAAAUUUGACAUGCUCAAAAAUGCAAAAUUGACUGGUCUGAUGAACACAGGAUGGCUGAGCAGUGAUAGUUGUACAUUUCCAUCACUCGUUGUGUUGAUUUCAUCAUGUCCAUUAGGUGAUGUUUUUUCACUAUAGAAUCAUAUUGCAAAUGCACGUGCAUUGUUGUGCAACUGGUAACCCAAAAAUAAAAAUAUGGUUGUAAAUGCAUUUACCGGUCAUUCUGAUAUUAAUGCUCGCUAUGGGAACACAGGAUGGCCGGGCAGUGAUAGUUGUACAUUUCCAUCACUCGUUGUGUUGAUUUCAUCAUGUCCAUUAGGUGAUGUUUUUUCACUAUAGAAUCAUAUUGUAAGUGCACGUGCAUUUGCAAUAUGUUUCAAUGUGCAUUUACCAUAUGAAAUUUGACAUGCUCAAAAAUGCAAAAUUGACUGGUCUGAUGAACACAGGAUGGCUGAGCAGUGAUAGUUGUACAUUUCCAUCACUCGUUGUGUUGAUUUCAUCAUGUCCAUUAGGUGAUGUUUUUUCACUAUAGAAUCAUAUUGUAAGUGCACGUGCAUUUGCAAUAUGUUUCAAUGUGCAUUUACCAUAUGAAAUUUGACAUGCUCAAAAAUGCAAAAUUGACUGGUCUGAUGAACACAGGAUGGCUGAGCAGUGAUAGUUGUACAUUUCCAUCACUCGUUGUGUUGAUUUCAUCAUGUCCAUUUGUUUAUGUUUUCUCACUUUUGCAAAGUCACUGUGCAUUUGCAAUAUGGUUCAAUGGGCAGGUACCAUCACGAAUUUGUCAUGCUAUAAAAAUCCUGCAGGAAUGUGAAAUUGACUGGUCUGAUGAACACAGGAUGGCCGAGCAGUGAUAGUUGUACAUUUCCAUCACUUGUUGUGUUGAUUUCAUCAUGUCCAUUAGGUGAUGUUUUUUCACUAUAGAAUCAUAUUGCAAAUGCACGUGCAUUGUUGUGCAACUGGUAACCCAAAAAUUAAAAUAUGGUUGUAAAUGCAUUUACCGGGACUCCUAUUAUCCAUGCCCGCUAUGGGAGUACCCUACUACGGCCCUCUAUCUAUGGAGUCCGUCCUGAGUGCUUUAUGGACUGUUUAAAAUAUUCUGAUGGAUACGCAUUGUUGUGCAACUGGUGAUUGAAAAUAGGCACCUGGUAACCCAAAAAUGAAAAUAUGGUUGUGAAUGCAUUUACCGGUCAUUCUGAUAUUAAUGCCCGCUAUGGGAACACAGGAUGGCCGGGCAGUGAUAGUUGUUCCUUUCCAUCACUCGUUGUG